rnacentral:lncRNA from 1 species
UUCUUUCAAAAAUUCUACAAAAAUUUGGAAAUGUUAAGUGAUGCAUGUGGCUCACUUUUAUGCAAAAACCCUUCUUGGCCUUUACUAAAUUUUGAGCACGACAUCCUCAUUUCUGUUCUGGUCCAUUUUGGUGAUUUGUACUGCGGCCCUAUUUUAUUUUGCCUCAAUCCCCAUGAGAUUUUUCCUUCUUGUAGUAGAUCCUACCAAACCCUUAAGUCCAAGAGAUUAGAGUAAUUGGAAUAUUGUUAGCCCAUACAAUAAUGCCCUAGAGUUUCUGUCCACAAAAGCUUUUCUCCAAAACUUGUACUAGCAACUUUCUCCUUCUCUCAAACUAACCUUGCCAUCAUUCUUAUCCUCUAAAGAGACCUUGUUCUGGAAAUUUUUGGUGGCCAGCAAAGCUCCCUAGAUUCCCAUGGCAUUCUGUUGAGC